AACGAACGCUGGCGGCAGGCUCAACACAUGCAAGUCGAGCGCCCCGCAAGGGGAGCGGCAGACGGGUGAGUAACGCGUGGGAAUCUACCGUGCCCUACGGAAUAGCUCCGGGAAACUGGAAUUAAUACCGUAUACGCCCUACGGGGGAAAGAUUUAUCGGGGUAUGAUGAGCCCGCGUUGGAUUAGCUAGUUGGUGGGGUAAAGGCCUACCAAGGCGACGAUCCAUAGCUGGUCUGAGAGGAUGAUCAGCCACAUUGGGACUGAGACACGGCCCAAACUCCUACGGGAGGCAGCAGUGGGGAAUAUUGGACAAUGGGCGCAAGCCUGAUCCAGCCGUGCCGCGUGAGUGAUGAAGGUCUUAGGAUUGUAAAGCUCUUUCACCGGUGAAGAUAAUGACGGUAACCGGAGAAGAAGCCCCGGCUAACUUCGUGCCAGCCGCCGCAGUAA
rnacentral:rRNA from 1 species